rnacentral:tRNA from 1 species
CGGGGUGUAGCGCAGCCAGGUAGCGCAACUGGUUUGGGACCAGUGGGUCGAAGGUUCGAAUCCUUUCACCCCGACCA